rnacentral:tRNA from 1 species
GGAGCGGUCGAGGCUGAAUGGUUACGAUGUUCGCUUUAUAAGCGAUUGUUCUGGGUUUGAUACCCAUCUGCUCCC